UGAUGUUAGCGGCGGACGGGUGAGUAACACGUGGGUAACCUGCCUGUAAGACUGGGAUAACUCCGGGAAACCGGGGCUAAUACCGGAUGGUUGUUUGAACCGCAUGGUUCAAACAUAAAAGGUGGCUUCGGCUACCACUUACAGAUGGACCCGCGGCGCAUUAGCUAGUUGGUGAGGUAACGGCUCACCAAGGCAACGAUGCGUAGCCGACCUGAGAGGGUGAUCGGCCACACUGGGACUGAGACACGGCCCAGACUCCUACGGGAGGCAGCAGUAGGGAAUCUUCCGCAAUGGACGAAAGUCUGACGGAGCAACGCCGCGUGAGUGAUGAAGGUUUUCGGAUCGUAAAGCUCUGUUGUUAGGGAAGAACAAGUACCGUUCGAAUAGGGCGGUACCUUGACGGUACCUAACCAGAAAGCCACGGCUAACUACGUGCCAGCAGCCGCGGUAAUACGUAGGUGGCAAGCGUUGUCCGGAAUUAUUGGGCGUAAAGGGCUCGCAGGCGGUUUCUUAAGUCUGAUGUGAAAGCCCCCGGCUCAACCGGGGAGGGUCAUUGGAAACUGGGGAACUUGAGUGCAGAAGAGGAGAGUGGAAUUCCACGUGUAGCGGUGAAAUGCGUAGAGAUGUGGAGGAACACCAGUGG
rnacentral:rRNA from 1 species